AGUCGACGGUAACAGGAAUUAGCUUGCUAAUUUGCUGACGAGUGGCGCACGGGUGCGUAACGCGUAUACAAUCUACCUUUUGCUGAGGGAUAGCCCAGAGAAAUUUGGAUUAAUACCUCAUGGUAUUAUUGAUAGGCAUCUAUUAAUAAUUAAAGGUUACGGCAAAAGAUGAGUAUGCGUCCCAUUAGCUAGUUGGCGAGGUAACGGCUCACCAAGGCAACGAUGGGUAGGGGUCCUGAGAGGGAGAUCCCCCACACUGGUACUGAGACACGGACCAGACUCCUACGGGAGGCAGCAGUGAGGAAUAUUGGACAAUGGAGGCAACUCUGAUCCAGCCAUGCCGCGUGCAGGAAGACGGCCCUAUGGGUUGUAAACUGCUUUUAUACAGGAAGAAACAUCCCGACGUGUCGGGACUUGACGGUACUGUAAGAAUAAGGACCGGCUAACUCCGUGCCAGCAGCCGCGGUAAUACGGAGGGUCCGAGCGUUAUCCGGAAUCAUUGGGUUUAAAGGGUCCGCAGGCGGUCAAUUAAGUCAGAGGUGAAAUCCCAUAGCUUAACUAUGGAACUGCCUUUGAUACUGGUUGACUUGAGUCAUAUGGAAGUAGAUAGAAUGUGUAGUGUAGCGGUGAAAUGCAUAGAUAUUACACAGAAUACCGAUUGCGAAGGCAGUCUACUACGUAUGUACUGACGCUCAUGGACGAAAGCGUGGGGAGCGAACAGGAUUAGAUACCCUGGUAGUCCACGCCGUANACGAUGGAUACUAGUUGUUGGGAUUUAUCUCAGUGACUAAGCGAAAGUGAUAAGUAUUCCACCUGGGGAGUACGGUC
rnacentral:rRNA from 1 species